AAAUUGCAGACAGACUUUCAUUUGGAGAGAAAUUUAUCCUAAUGUAUUGGUCCUUUGGAUGGAUGAAAUUUUAUCAUAAUAACUUUUCUUUGGAUGGAAUGCUAACACGAGGUAGCUACUGAUAUAUUCUUUCUUCUGGACAGAGGGUUUCAAACAAUGGCCGACCCGUCCUGCCCCAGAAGGGUUGUUUCAAACCAGCUAUGCGGGUACCCAUAACACUGAUGAGCUGAUUUGAUUCCACGGAACAGUAUUUACCGCUCUUAGUCAACACACGGUUGACUUUUGUUUACAAUAGCCAUGAUUCCUGACAAUAGAGAAUAUCGAAACAAUACCAAUAAAAAAGAAGCUUGAUCCACGGAUGAGAGCUCUAACGUAAAGAAAUAAUGUGCGGAGCAUACGACACCCAAGCACCAAGUUUAUACUGUAGGGAAGUAAUAAAGGAUGGAGUGAAGAAUGACAAAAUGUCUGUCAACAAAACCCCACAAGAGACAGACAACACACUGUAUCAUGUUUUUAAAAUCAUUGACAGUCUAACCGAACGUAAAAUGUUCACCUCUCCUAAUAAAUAAUCCUUUUUACUGAUGAUAACCCCAAACUACUACAAAUGACACGUUUAGAACUACAAUAAGACAACAGAUUUAAGAAAAGGUUGGCCAUGGAGAGAACAAUAUCAAAUUGAUAAGAUGCAAGGUUGUUUUCUACUCCAUCUUUGUCCAUAGGGAUAACA